GGAAUAUUGGUCAAUGGGCGAAAGCCUGAACCAGCAAUGCCGCGUGGGUGAUGAAGGCCUUCGGGUUGUAAAGCCCUGUCAGAAGGAAAGAAACAACCGGUUAAUACCCGCUCUUGACGGUACCUUCAAAGGAAGCCCCGGCUAACUCUGUCGCAGCAGCCGCGGUAAUACAGAGGGUGCAAGCGUUGUUCGGAAUUACUGGGCGUAAAGCGCGUGUAGGCGGCUUAUUAAGUCGGACGUGAAAUCCCUUGGCUCAACCAAGGAACUGCGUCCGAUACUGUUAGGCUUGAGUGUCGGAGGGGGUGGCGGAAUUCCCGGUGUAGAGGUGAAAUUCGUAGAUAUCGGGAGGAACACCUGUGGCGAAGGCGGCCACCUGGAAGACAACUGACGCUGAGACGCGAAAGCGUGGGGAGCAAAC
rnacentral:rRNA from 1 species